rnacentral:rRNA from 1 species
AUUGAACGCUGGCGGCAUGCUUUACACAUGCAAGUCGAACGGUAACAGGCCGCAAGGUGCUGACGAGUGGCGAACGGGUGAGUAAUGCAUCGGAACGUGCCCAGUCGUGGGGGAUAACUACUCGAAAGAGUAGCUAAUACCGCAUACGAUCUAUGGAUGAAAGCGGGGGACCGUAAGGCCUCGCGCGAUUGGAGCGGCCGAUGUCAGAUUAGGUAGUUGGUGGGGUAAAGGCUCACCAGGCCAACGAUCUGUAGCUGGUCUGAGAGGACAACCAGCCACACUGGGACUGAGACACGGCCCAGACUCCUACGGGAGGCAGCAGUGGGGAAUUUUGGACAAUGGGCGCAAGCCUGAUCCAGCAAUGCCGCGUGCAGGAAGAAGGCCUUCGGGUUGUAAACUGCUUUUGUACGGAACGAAACGGCUCUGGUUAAUACCCGGGGCUAAUGACGGUACCGUAAGAAUAAGCACCGGCUAACUACGUG